AGGCUAUAUUGUUCUUGCACCUGAGGGUCGAUUAUUGACUAUGAAACUGGUCUUUGGGAGGUCUUUAGCCUCUCUGGCAUAAUUCCUUGAAUGAUCCUAUCUCUCCGUUUAGGUAAGGAGAGGCCUCCAAAGACAGUAUCAAUCUCCCGAAUUGGUACUUAUCCACGUGUCGGGGGUCUCUUAUUUACCUUUGCCCAUUUUUAUGUCUUUCUUUCUCUUCGUCUCUCUUAUGGCCAGGGAGAUCGUCUCCAAGAUCGCAUCGCCUUAUCUCGC
rnacentral:lncRNA from 1 species